GAUGAACGCUGGCGGCGUGCUUAACACAUGCAAGUCGAACGGUGAAGGCGGAGCUUGCUCUGCUGGAUCAGUGGCGAACGGGUGAGUAACACGUGAGCAAUCUGCCCCUGACUCUGGGAUAAGCGCUGGAAACGGCGUCUAAUACUGGAUACGAGCUGCGAAGGCAUCUUCAGCAGCUGGAAAGAACUUCGGUCAGGGAUGGGCUGGCGGCCUAUCAGCUUGUUGGUGAGGUAAGGGCUAACCAAGGCCUCGCCCGGUAGCAGACCUGGGCGGGUGACCGGACACACUGGGACUGAAACACGACACAGACUCCUACGGGAGGCAGGAGUGGGGAAUAUUGCACAAUGGGCGGAAGCAUGAUGCAACACCGCCGCGUGAGGGACGACGGCAUGCGGGUUGUAAACCUCUUUUCGCAGGGAAGAAGCGAUAGUGACGGUACCUGCAGAAAAAGCGCCGGCUAACUACGUG
rnacentral:rRNA from 1 species